UACGGGGGGAGCAAGCGUUGUUCGGAUUUACUGGGCGUAAAGGGCCAGUAGGCGGCCAACUAAGUCCGACGUGAAAUCCCAAGGCUUAACCUUGGAACUGCGUCGGAUACUGGAUGGCUUGAAUUCGGGAGAGGGAUGCAGAAUUCCAGGUGUAGCGGUGAAAUGCGUAGAGAUCUGGAGGAACACCGAUGGCGAAGGCAGCCUUCUGGGCCAACACUGACGCUCAUGCACGAAAGCGUGGGGAGCAAACAGG
rnacentral:rRNA from 1 species